UGGGGAAUUUUGGACAAUGGGCGCAAGUCUGAUCCAGCCAUGCCGCGUGCGGGAAGAAGGCCUUCGGGUUGUAAACCGCUUUUGUCAGGGAAGAAAUCUUCUGAGUUAAUACCUCGGGAGGAUGACGGUACCUGAAGAAUAAGCACCGGCUAACUACGUGCCAGCAGCCGCGGUAAUACGUAGGGUGCAAGCGUUAAUCGGAAUUACUGGGCGUAAACGUGCGCAGGCGGUUUUGUAAGACAGAGGUGAAAUCCCCGGGCUCAACCUGGGAACUGCCUUUGUGACUGCAAGGCUUGAGUGCGGCAGAGGGGGGAUGGAAUUCCGCGUGUAGCAGUGAAAUGCGUAGAUAUGCGGAGGAACACCGAUGGCGAAGGCAAUCCCCUGGGCCUGCACUGACGCUCAUGCACGAAAGCGUGGGGAGCAAACAGGAUUAGAUAGCCCUGGUAGUCCACGCCCUAAACGAUGUCAACUGGUUGUUGGGAAGGUUCCUUCUCAGUAACGUAGCUAACGCGUGAAGUUGACCGCCUGGGGAGUACGGCCGCAAGGUU
rnacentral:rRNA from 1 species